UUCCGGUUGAUCCUGCCGAAGGCUACUGCUAUUGGAGUUCGAUUAAGCCAUGCGAGUCUAAGGGAUACUUGUAUCCCUGGCAUAAUGCUCAGUAACACGUGGAUAAUCUGCCCUCAGGUGAGGAAUAAACCCGGGAAACUGAGAAUAAUGAUCCAUAGUUCACUACGCCUGGAACGGUGAGUGGAUGAAAGCUCCGGCGGCAUAGGAUGGGCCUGCGGCGUAUCAGGUUGUAGGGGGUGUAACGUACCCUCUAGCCCUCUACGCGUACGGGUGUUGGGAGACAUAGCCCGGAGAUGGAUUCUGAGACACGAAUCCAGACCCUACGGGGUGCAGCAGGCGCGAAAACUUGGCAAUGCGAGAAAUCGUGACCAGGGAACUCCAAGUGCAUGGGGUAAGACCCAUGCUUUUCUUGACUCUAAAUAGGUCUUGGAAUAAGGGGUGGGUAAGGACGGUGCCAGCCGCCGCGGUAAUACCGGCGCCUCAAGUGGUAGUCGCUUUUAUUGGGCCUAAAACGUCCGUAGCCGGUCUGAUACAUUCGUGGGUAAAUCAACCAGCUUAACUGGUUGAAUUCUGCGAGGACGGUCAGACUUGGGACCGGGAGAGGUGUGGGGUACGCUCAGGGUAGGGGUAAAAUCCUGUCAUCCUGAGCGGACCACCUGUUGCGAAGGCGCCACACUAGAACGGAUCCGACGGUCAGGGACGAAGCCUAGGGGCACGAACCGGAUUAGAUACCCGGGUAGUCCUAGGUGUAAACGCUGUGGACUUGAUGUUGGGGGUGCUCCGAGCACUCUCAGUGUCGAAGCGAAGGUGAUAAGUCCACUGCCUGGGAAGUACGGUCGCAAGGCUGAAACUUAAAGGAAUUGGCGGGGGAGCACCGCAACCUGAGGAUUGUGCGGUUUAAUUGGAUUCAACGCCGGA
rnacentral:rRNA from 1 species